UGGCUGGCCAGGGUGGCUCAUGCCUGUAAUCCCAGCACUUCGAGAGGCCGAGGUGGAAGGACGACAUGAGGCCAGGAAUUUGAGACCACACUAACCAUCAUUAUUUCAGGAAAAUCAUCAUGAAGGGAAGAAGGAAAAAUAUGUGUCCAGGGCAUUCCCACACAAAUCCACAAGGCUAAAGAUAACAAACAAGAAAGGAGACCACAGUAACAAAACUCCAGGGCUGAAUGGUAACUGACUUAGCAGAACUGAGAAAGCUAAAUCUUUAAUGAGAAGUAAGAAAAGCCAAGAAGCAAUCCUGUUUUCUCCACAGAAUCCUACCCCGAAAGGUCCCAGAAAUUUUACAUCAUGUACUACUGAAAACAGAGGUAAAGAAAGGACUAAAAACCUAGAAGGACUAGGUGCAAAGUUCU
rnacentral:lncRNA from 1 species